rnacentral:lncRNA from 1 species
ACAACAUAAAGGGAAAGAGGAGAGGCACCUGAUACAUAUUCUCUAGGCCUUUUAGGAAACAUGGAGUUGUUCCUUUGAAUACACGUGAAUCUGUAAGAAAGGCAAUAUUGUAGACAUCAAGGAAAUGGGCACUGUUCAAAAAGCAAUACCUCACAAAUGUUAACCAUGGCAAACUGGAAGAGUCUACAGUGUCACUCAGCAUUAGUUAGUUAACUUAUUGGGCAAGAUUCUUGCCAAGAGAAUUAAUGUGCAUAUUGAGCACUCUAAGAGCCAAAAUAGCUUCCUGAAAUGUGUGAAGGAAAAUGAUCAGGAAAAGAAGGAACCAAAGAGAAAGGUACCUGGGUUUAGCAGAAGCACCAGCCUGCUCCACCCAGGGAAGCACACUUUGUGAGAACCAAUGAAAAGGAACCGGAGCUGCUGGAACCUCUUCCCUAUGAAUGUAUGGCAU